GAGUACGGCCGCAAGGUUAAAACUCAAAUGAAUUGACGGGGGCCCGCACAAGCGGUGGAGCAUGUGGUUUAAUUCGAUGCAACGCGAAGAACCUUACCUGGUCUUGACAUCCACAGAACUUUCCAGAGAUGGAUUGGUGCCUUCGGGAACUGUGAGACAGGUGCUGCAUGGCUGUCGUCAGCUCGUGUUGUGAAAUGUUGGGUUAAGUCCCGCAACGAGCGCAACCCUUAUCCUUUGUUGCCAGCGGUCCGGCCGGGAACUCAAA
rnacentral:rRNA from 1 species